ACGAACGCUGGCGGCGUGCUUCACACCUGCAAGUCGCACGGAAAGGCCCUGCUUUUGUGGGGUGCUCAAGUGGCGAACGGGUGAGUAACACGUGAGUAACCUGCCCUUGACUUUGGGAUAACUUCAGGAAACUGGGGCUAAUACCGGAUAGGAGCUCCUGCUGCAUGGUGGGGGUUGGAAAGUUUCGGCGGUUGGGGAUGGACUCGCGGCUUAUCAGCUUGUUGGUGGGGUAGUGGCUUACCAAGGCUUUGACGGGUAGCCGGCCUGAGAGGGUGACCGGCCACAUUGGGACUGAGAUACGGCUCAGACUCCUACGGGAGGCAGCAGUGGGGAAUAUUGCACAAUGGGCGGAAGCCUGAUGCAGCAACGCCGCGUGCGGGAUGACGGCCUUCGGGUUGUAAACCGCUUUCGCCUGUGACGAAGCGUGAGUGACGGUAAUGGGUAAAGAAGCACCGGCUAACUACGUG
rnacentral:rRNA from 1 species